rnacentral:rRNA from 1 species
CCUACGGGGGGCUGCAGUGGGGAAUAUUGCACAAUGGGGGAAACCCUGAUGCAGCAACGCAGCGUGAGCGAUGAAGGCCUUCGGGUCGUAAAGCUCUGUGCUAAGGGAAGAAUAAUGACGGUACCUGAGGAGGAAGCCCCGGCUAACUACGUGCCAGCAGCCGCGGUAAAUCGUAGGGGGCUAGCGUUAUCCGGAAUUACUGGGCGUAAAGGGUGCGUGGGCGGGCCUUCAAGUCAGGGGUGAAAGGCUACGGCUCGACCGUAGUAAGCAUUUGUAACUGUACGGUUUGAGUGCAGGAGAGGGGAGUGGAAUUCUCAGUGUAGCGGUGAAAUGUUUAGAUAUUGAGAUGAACACCAGUGGCAAAGGCGGCUCUCUGGACUGUAGCUGACGCUGAGGCGCGAAAGCGUUGUGAGCGAACAGGAUUAGAUACCGCUGUAGUC